rnacentral:rRNA from 1 species
GGUGAACGCUGGCGGUGGGCCUAACACAUGCAAGUCGAGCGACCACACAAUGAGCGCUCGCUCUUACGGGUGGCGGGGGACGGACGGGUGAGACAUACAUAGGCAACUACUUAUUCGGGGGGGAUACCGGGGGGAAGCGUACGCUAAUGCCGCAUACGUACUACGGGAGGAAGCAAAAGAGAUUGAGGGCUUGCCUAACAGAAAGAGACGAUGCCGGGCCGGAUUAGCUAGUUGGUAAGGUAACGGCCUACCAAGGCAACGAUCCGUAGCUGACCUGAGAGGGUGAUCGGCCACACUGGAACUGAGACACGGUCCAGACUCCUACGGGAGGCAGCAGUGGGGAAUCUUGCACAAAGGGCGCAAGCCUGACGCAGCCACACCGCGUGGGUGAUGAAGGUCUUCGGGUCGUAAAGCUCUUUUGUUGGGAAAGAACAGAAGCAUAAUAAACUCUCGAUGUCUUGACGGUACCCAAACAAUAAGCCCCGGCUAACUUCGUG